CAAAAACCAUUACAAGCUGGUUUUGGGACAGAUCAACAUCGCAAAGAAUUUGAUUGACAACAUCUUUCCUGUUUACAAACGAUUGAUCCCAAUACUCGGACUCUACUGCUUUGUGGAUAUCCCAAUGUGGGCAAGUCUAGUUUAAUCAACAAGCCUUUGCUCAUUGUGGCUAACAAGUGUUAUGUCAAGAAGAUGUGAUCUUACUGAGGAAGACCAGAAAAUCAUUGCUGACCUUACUGUAGAGGGCAUCCCUGUCGUUGAAACCAGCACUUUGACUGGAUAGGGCGUGAUAAUUGUAAAAACAGAGGCAAACUUCUGGCCGAUUGUGUCCAUGGCAAAAUGAAGGGCAAGAAGGUGCAUGAUGUUCUCAACAGAUUGCAUUUAGCAGUACCUGCUAAGAGGGAUGAAAAGGUGAGACCACCAUUCAUUCCAGAGGGAACUAGGAUUGGCAGGAAAACAGUGGAGGUGGAUGCACCCAAACGCAAAACAGAGAGGGAGAUGGAGCUGAUUAUAUCCUGGACCUACAGAGAUCUGGAGAAGGAGGAGGAGCUGAAGGAGAAGGCAGGGGAGUAUGAGACUGGUGAGGAUGAGGAGAUGCAGGAGAUCCGCCAGCUGGCCAAACAGAUCAGAGAGAAGAGGAAGCUAAAGAUUGUGUGCUCCAAAGAGAAGGAUGUGCAUUGCCCCAGACUACCCAGAACUGUCGAGAUGGUGAUGUGGAUGGAGAUCUUGUUUAUAUGAAUAUAACUUUUACAGUUAAUCUUGUUUUAUAGCCUGUCUUUUAAAAAAAGUAUUGUACCUUUACAGGUUGAAAGAAACUCUGGAGAAAGAAAUGGGAGACCUUGGUCUGGACAUGACUGGCAAAGAUGAUAUAGCGAAGAAGGCCAAGAAGUUGAUGAAGAGCCAACAGAAGGACAUGAACUGCCAGGGGAAGAAGGGAGAGGCAGACAGACAUGUAUUUGACCUCAAGCCAAAACCUAUUUUUCUCUGGCAAGAGAAUGUCCGGAACAAAUGAUCACAGAUAAAGGCAUUGAUCGAUGUGGUUGACGCGGUUUUCAGUGUAAUCCACCUUCUGUCAGAAUUGUAUACUUUUCACUGGAGUAAAUCUGAAAAUAAAUGUUUGCCCUUUUCUGAA